GUGUGCUCCUCAAUAGUCCAGUCUUUCAGCACUGAGAGAAUUCCCCAAGACUCAAAGAUCUGUGUUACUGUCCAAAACCACCAGGUAAGCCAGCAGAGAUAUUUUAUGUAUCUCAGAGCAGUGCCACAUUAUUCUUAACUAUUGUACAGCUAGUGUCAUUUUAAAUCUUAUAUAGGAUCAUAAUUUUAAAAUGAGUUCACAUUUUUUCUUUGUCCCUGUCAAUGUGCUUUCGUAACCUGUCUGUGAAGACUGCUUAUGAAAUUCAGGGCAGGUUGUGGACUGGAAAUGAUGAAAUACUUGCAGCUUUUGGUCAAGUACAACUUCAUGACCUAACUACAUCUCAGCAAGGUAUUACAGUGAAAGCCAACCUGUCCCAGCUGUUUCAGCUGGAUUUCCCGACCUCUGUCAGCCUACAUAUUGAGGUGCUCAGGAGUCACAGGAACAACAGCGAGUUUGAAUAUCAUUCUGAAGGGAACGUUGCCAUUGAUGACAAUAAUUACCAUGUAAAUGCCCUCAAAAGUGACUUUUUUUUUGCACCUGAGUAAUUAAUUGCAUAUUUCUUAGUUGCUGAUAUUGAGUGUUUUUUUAUUUUAUUUUUCAUGACAUUCCAGGCUAAUGCAGCAAUAACAGUAUCCCCUUUUGGAAACAUUAGCAGUUCUAUCAGCCUGAAGGCAAAUGAAAAAAAUGCAACACUUCAUUUUACUCUAGACAACAAGGUGGCAAAGGGCAUUACUACUGUGUGCGUCCAUGCUGGCUUUCAUCAGACCUUAUUCCCAGGGGUCACUUCUGACGGUCAUAUUCAUUUAGCUGCUAAUUCUUCUUCAGAAAGUGUUUUCUUGCAGUGUACAGUUAAAAAGGAAGAGGAGACGUUUAAUGCUCACUUUAGUGGAACUUUACCAGAUGAUCAAGACUGGCGAAUAUCUCUUUCAGCAGAUAUUUUCAAUUCAAUACAAGAUCUUGCUGCUUUACCUAAUUCAGCUAGUUUAGUUGGAGUACUAACCCAGUCAAAGGGUCUAACUGAAGGAGAGCUCACUGUAGUAGUGGAUGAUGCUGUAUAUGGGCUGGAAGUGACUGAGUCUCUGUGUGUAAACAUCAACAGUAAUUUAACACAUUGUGGGUGCAGAAGUCUUCAUACCCAGCUGUCUCACUCUUUCCCUUGGCUUCGUUCUGCAGGGCUUCCGCUGAACAGCAGCGCAGGUGUGUAUUUGUACUGGAAUGGCAGCAGUGUCUGUGCCCAACUGACGCUGCAUGCAGGGGCCAGCGGCCCGACAGCUACACUGGAACAGAGUUCUCACCACAUCUCACAAACUACUGGAUGCUCUCAGGUUAGAGUAUCACAGUCAUUCAGUAAUUGUGAAUCGCUGAAAGGCUCCCAUAGUUCUCAAAUCUCAAACACACCAGCUAACACACUAGAACAAAUGCAGUAUUUGUGUAGUUUCUUUUCUUACUUG
rnacentral:lncRNA from 12 species